rnacentral:rRNA from 1 species
GACGAACGCUGGCGGCGCGCCUAACACAUGCAAGUCGAACGGUGACGAGAGCUUCGGCUCUCUGAUCAGUGGCGGACGGGUGAGUAACACGUGAGCAACCUGCCUAUCAGAGGGGGACAACAGUUGGAAACGACUGCUAAUACCGCAUAACGUGCUCGGAAGGCAUCUUCUGGGUACCAAAGAUUUAUCGCUGAUAGAUGGGCUCGCGUCUGAUUAGAUAGUUGGCGGGGUAACGGGCCCACCAAGUCGACGAUCAGUAGCCGGACUGAGAGGUUGAACGGCCGACAUUGGGACUGAGACACGGCCCAGACUCUACGGAGGCAGCAGUGGGGGAUAGUUGGGCAAUGGGCGAAAGCCUGACCCAGCGACGCCGCGUGAGGAAGAAGAUACUUCGGAUU